rnacentral:hammerhead_ribozyme from 1 species
AUCAAGGUGACGAGUCCCAAAUAGGACGAAACGCGCGUUAAACUGGAU